rnacentral:rRNA from 1 species
AUUGAACGCUGGCGGCAGGCCUAACACAUGCAAGUCGAGCGGAGCGGCGGACGGGUGAGUAAUGACUGGUAAUUUACCUGUUGGUGGGGGAUAACGCACGGAAGGGGACGCUAAUACAGCAUACUAGCAGAUGGGUCUAGGGCGGACUAGCUAGUUGGUGAGGUAAUGGCUCACCAAGGCUACGAUCCAUCCCUGGUCUGAGAGGAUGAUCAGUCACACUGGAACUGAGACACGGUCCAGACUCCUACGGGAGGCAGCAGUGGGGAAUAUUGGACAAUGGGCGAAAGCCUGAUGCAGCCAUGCCGCGUGUGUGAAGAAGGUCUUCGGAUUGUAAAGCACUUUUAGUAGGGAGGCGUUACCGACAGAAUAAGCACCGGCUAACUCUGUGCCAGCAGCCGCGGUAAUAC